GAUUAGAUGGGUCCGGAGCGGAGAUGGUAGAACUGGGUAUCAUCAGCACUCAUGGGUGAAGGGGGUGGGGCAAGAGGCACGGGAGAGGAUAAGGUCAUCCAGGGUGAAUGUGUAGAAGGAGAAGAGAGACAGCCUGCAAUGCAACCUGCAGAAACUUGGCGUGUUAGGAAUCGGGCAAAAAAAGGAGGCUGCUGAGGAGUGUCCAGGAAGAUUGAAGAAAAUUCAGGAGAAAGUGGAGCCCCAAAGACUAAGGAGCAAAGGAGUUUCAAGAAGGAGGAAAUAAUCAAAAACAUCAAAUGCUAUAGACCCAUUCAAGUCAGAUGAGAGGAUGGGCAGAGCUGAAUAGCACCAAUGCGUGUGCCGUCAAAGAGGUUACUUGUGGCCUUAUUAUUGACAGCAAUUUCUGGCGAGUUGUGUAUGUGGAAGUAUGAGUGAAAGACACAUGAGAAGAAAAGAAAGAGGCUACAGAGUCAGCUGAGACAAUAAUUUUGCUUGGCUUGGAUGUGGUAUUCUGGAAAGUUGGACAAGUACUUCUCAGGCACCUACUCUGCAUGCUGGUUCCUGUAUGAGCUGCUGUGGGGAAUUCAGAAACAAGGAGUUCAAGAAGCUCAUUGUGUCAUGGAAAGAAAACUUAUGUCAGAGGCUACAGAUCUACAAUGUGAAUCACCCAUGGUAUUUGUGCCGCACAGUGUUUUUGUAAAAUUGAACCAUCAUUUUUUUUAAAAUCAGUUGAUCCACAGAGAAGAAAAGUCUGUUUUAAGAAUCUUUCUGACUGGUCACAUGGAGGAAUUGCUACUCAAAAACAGCUAUUUAUCGGGAAAGUAAAGCUGCCUGCAAAACAAAAGAGCUUGCACCUUGGACAUCGUGCAUUACCCAGCACAGGACCUAACACAUAGGAGGUGGUCAAUAACUGCUUGUGAAAUGAACGACAGAAUAGAAAACCUUUUGAUGGACAACUACAUUUCCUGAUUUAUCCCACUUCAAGGAAUAAGAGAAGGACCUACAUUUCAUGAGGGCCUGUCAUAUGUACUUGUUUGGCACUUUCUGAAUAUCACAUUUAAACUUUGCACGGUGAGAGCUAAAAAUAUUAUCUUUAAUUUACAUAUCAUGAAAAUAAAGAUCAGAUAUAUUAGAUAAUUUGUUCAAGGUCAGUCAGCAAUAAUGAGAUAGAGUUGAGAGGCAGACUCUGGGAGGCCUGACUUGGAAUAGCAUGUUCUUUUGAAGGUGCCACACUGCCUCCCAUCUGAACAUCCAUGGGAAGGUUACGGAGUUUCUUCCUGUAGGUCUCUCAGGCUCCCUUCCCAUGACUUUCACUUCAGCACUCCAUGCAUGUCCCCUCCCUUUAAGCCACCGCUGAAUAGUUGCUUUUCCCAGAACACAUUGGUAUUUUCAGGUUUCCAGGUAAUUCUCUUAUAAUUCCUUUAUCCCAGAAAACAUCCUUCUGUCUUUUCUACUUAUCCUUCAAGGACCCAUCUGAACCGAAUAUCCCUUCCAUGAAGUUUUUUGUAAUCUUACCCUAUAAUAAAAUUGUCCUUUUCUGAGUCCCCAUAGCCCACUGCCUCUUCUACAAUUUUGGACUCACUUUAUUCAGCUUCAAAUUCCACUCAGUCAUUUACCUUCUGCCCCACCCCCGAGCUGUAAGCAACCCAAAGGCAGAGGGUGCAUCCUCUUCAUCUCUGUAAUUCAGCAUGGUCUCCCAAGAGUCUUUGAUGGUAAAGGCAGGUAACAACAUGGAGAGCAUUGAUUCAA